rnacentral:rRNA from 1 species
UACGGAGGGUGCGAGCGUUGUUCGGAAUCACUGGGCGUAAAGCGCGUGUAGGCGGCCCACUAAGUCUGAUGUGAAAGCCCGGGGCUCACCCCCGGAAGUGCAUUGGAAACUGGUGGACUAGAGUCCCGGAGAGGAGAGUGGAAUUCCUGGUGGUAGCGGUGAAAUGCGCAGAUAUCAGGAAGAACACCAGUGGCGAAGGCAGGCUCUCUGGGACGGUGACUGACGCUGAGACGCGAAAGCGUGGGGAGCGAACAGG